rnacentral:tRNA from 1 species
GGAACUGUGCCUGAAAUAAAGGACCACUUUGAUAGAGUGAACCAUGGGGGUUAAAGUCCCCCCAGCUCCU